CCACUACCCUGCUCCCUCCCCCAAGCCGCCGCCACUCCUUCUCCCUCCCCCUUUCUCUCUCUUCUCUCUCUACCGCCCACCUCUCUCCACCUCCUCUCCCCAAGCCGCGCCACCAGGAGUGCAGCAGCCGCUAGAAGCUGCCAUCCGCCCGCCAGGAGUUCAGUCAAUCUCCUGUCUCCUGAGAGCCGCCGCCCGCCGAGUCCCGCUCGCCGCUCGGUCGCUCCCGUGAGGCGCUCGAUCUCCUCAGCGCCGCGCCCACCCAGCCACGGUGGAGCCACCCUUCGUCCCGUCGUCCGGCGGCCGGCCCUCAAUCCCUCACGCCCUAGCUUCUCUGCCAUUUCCGGUCAGCCCCUCACGCCCUAGCUUUCCUAUCAGGCGCUCGGUCGCUCCCUUUGCCACGCGCUCCUAGCUUCUCUGGUCGGCUCUUCCUCCGCCAUUUCCGGUUGGAUCCUCCUAUGUGCAGUGCUCGACAAACGGCACCAGCGCCGCUGGGUACUGUCACCGCUUCGGUCGCCGGAGCCCGGAGAUGUAAAUGCGCUGGAGUUUUCAUGCUGUCGCUGGAGGAAUUGAGGAAGAAAGUUUGGUAACCGUAUACUGCUCUAAGAAGUUUUGCCAGUUUUGAUCAUAGCCAAGCUUUUGAUUCAUCAUAAUCUGAUCCUGUAACCAAUUUCUCUCCCUAUGUCUAGAGCAGCCUCGUGGCCAAUGCAAUUGAUGCCCUGGAACUGCCGAAGGGAUCUGCAAUUGCUAUUGACAUGCCUAUGGAUGUUACCUAAUUUCAGGAUGCUAAGGUAAUAAUGCUUGGACUGGUACCCAGCAUCGUUCGUACUUGGAAGAAUACGGACUGUACAGCUGGACUAGACUGGUCCUCCAUCCGGUAAUUUUUUAAUUGCUCAACUAUCCAGACCUUUUGUCUUAACUUUGCAAGUUACACAUAUAGUAUGGUAUGCAGUUUCUAUUGACCAUAUUCAUUAUAUACAGAUGCUUUAGCUCCUCUAGGGAGGCAUCCAGUGUGGAUUUUGUGUUAAAGGAUAGGUUGGAAACCACACGACAGCAAUAUCUGAAUUUCUUAUUUGAUGAUGCUCAGAUACAUAAUUUUUUGACUGAGCCUUGAUAUUCUCAGAAGGUGAUGUCAGUCUUUUCCUAAGAGAAGUAAGUAGUGUUACUCCAUCCUUACUGCUCGGAUGUCGGAUCAUUGACUACCACUGAGGUCAGCACUGGCAUUUUUUUUAACGUAGAGCUCUGCAGUUCUUACGCUGACACCUUAUAAGUGAAAGUGCAAUAUAGAGGCCUUGUGACUAUCUUUUCGUCAGCAAGAGAACAACAUCGAUCUUGGUAGUUCUUAGUUGCCCCUGUGUUUCGGAAGUGUUGUGUCAGAUUAUUAUAUACCCAUUUCUAGAAAUAACCAAUUGCUCAUAUUGCUUACUUAGACAAAUAAGCAAUCUUGAAUCUGGAAUUUUACAGUGUACCUGAACUAUCAACUCCCUUCAACAAACUUUUUUGUAUGGAACAGGAGCAGCAGCACCCCCCCCCCCCCCCCCCGCCUAGUGAAAAUAUUAUGAACAGAAAAAGAACAUCAAACAGCAAAGAAAGAAACCAAAAAGUUCAACAAACAUUGCUUAUCAUCACCAGCAAUUAUUAUCCUUAUUCCUCCUAAUCAGAAAUCAGCUUUAACGACCUGUUUGGUUGAUUGUCUGGUACUUCUCUCAAAAUAUUUAUUUGAUUUAGCUUUAGGAGCUAUCUUGUUUCCCUAUGCAGGGUCUUCAUUUAAACUUCCUCAGGAUUUUAUCAGUAUAUAUUUUACUUUUGCAGUUUAAACAAUGGAAUGUAGCAUUUAUCGGUUCCAGCUUUCAAUCUUGCAAAAUAGAAGCACUGACAGCGUGCUUGUUGCAUGCAUUACCUGUAAUAAUGCUCCAUUUGUGUUCUUUAUUUGUUUAGCCACUCUAAUCGACACUGCCCGUUUAUUUACAUAGGAACGUCAAUCAUAUGGAUGCUUCUUCAGUGGAAUUAUCAUGUGAAUCCCCAUAGUGCCCAAGCUGUGAAGCAGUCAUGAUUGAUGCUUGGGCUGUUAGCUUUAUGUGGUCCAGGGGGAGGAAGGAUACCUUAGAAACUGUCAGAAAAGCUCAUUUCAUACUUCAUUUUUCAUCAUGUUAUUUUGUUGCAUGAGACAUUUGUCCAACUGCGUAGGGAAUGAAAAUUCAAAUUAUUUCUGCCACUGAUUGGGGGAUGUAAUUCCAAACGUUGUAAAAGGCGACUGUAUCUAGUGAUUAUUUAUGGCUGAUGGGAAGAGCUGGUUGUGGUAUAGUGUCAGCAGCGUAUGAUCGGUUGGUUCAUCAAAUCUGUCCUUCGUUGAUUAGUUUUUUUGUUUUGUUUUGCAGAUGCAGUUGAAGACCCAAGAUUUGAACGACACUAUUGUCACACCGAAAGUGUGUUCGAUGAAAUGCCUCCAACAUCCGGAGGUUUCUAUUUGUGAAAGUUUGCAGGCUAAGACAAAUGAUAGCUAUUCAAGGAGCUAGAGGCUGCUCAACAUAAAGCAUCAACAGCAACCUCUGGAACAGCUGAAAAUGCUCUACUGGAAGCUAAGUCAGUGACUGAUCUUAAAUCUAAAGAUUUGGAGAAGAAGAAAAGUGAGCUUUGUUCACUGAUACAAGAAGUUGGAGUGCUUUUGUGAAGGCUUUUGCGAAUCACUUGAAGUGUUAGUACUUUUGUGAAUGAUUUUGUAAAGUGUUUGCAAAUAUGUGCAAAACAUAAUAACAUGUGUAGGUUUUGUGAAUGAUUUUGUUGUGGUGCUUGUUGAUGGUUUAUGUGAUGUGGAUCUAUCAUUGUGCAAUACUAAUUAAAUUUGUAUAUCUAUGUGAUUAUCUGUAUAAAAAUUGGUGAUUUGUGAUGCUUUUGUAUAUAUAACAGUUGUUGAAUGCUAA